UACGUAGGUGACCAGCGUUGUCCGGAUUUACUGGGCGUAAAGAGCGCGCAGGCGGUCGUUCAAGUCGAGUGUGAAAGCCCCCGGCUCAACUGGGGAGGGUCACUCGAUACUGAUCGACUUGAAGGCAGGAGAGGGAAGCGGAAUUCCCGGUGUAGUGGUGAAAUGCGUAGAUAUCAGGAGGAACACCAGUGGCGAAGGCGGCUCACUGGCCCAUAACUGACGCUGAGGCACGAAAGCGUGGGGAGCAAACAGG
rnacentral:rRNA from 1 species